rnacentral:rRNA from 1 species
UACGUAGGUGGCGAGCGUUGUCCGGAUUUACUGGGCGUAAAGAGCGCGCAGGCGGUCGUUCAAGUCGCGUGUGAAAGCCCCGGGCUCAACCUGGGAAUUGCAUUUGAGACUGCGUAGCUAGGGUGCGGAAGAGGGAAGCGGAAUUUCCGGUGUAGCGGUGAAAUGCGUAGAUAUCGGAAGGAACACCAGUGGCGAAAGCGGCUUCCUGGUCCAGCACCGACAUUCAGGCACGAAAGCGUGGGGAGCAAACGGG